rnacentral:lncRNA from 1 species
AGGCUGUAAGACCUGAGCCGGGCGGAGAAGCAAAGGAGAGGGAAGCUGGAAGCACCUUUGGCCCGGGACAGAAAUCUGGAGAGCUUGGCUACCUCCAUCCUCCUCAGGCCGGAGCAGGCUUCCUGAGAGAGUCCAGGUCGUAGGAGUUUUACGACUUAGAAAAGCGGGCUGCAGAUUCCUUCCUGGGUGUUUGGUUCAAGCCUUGGCUCCAGCCUCACUCUCAGUCUUCCCGGGAGUUCGUGGGAUUUGGACCUUAGAUUAUUAGUAUUAUUUUGAGGGCCUCCUGUGUGUAAGCACUGGUUGUGCGCAGAUGGCUGUGCAGAGGGCCAUGAGGUAGAGGCUGGGGAAAUGAGGGCUUGGAGGUGCUUGAGGUAUGGUCUUUACCUACGUGAAAUGUUGGAGGUAAGCCUAUGUUUUCUUGGAUGUGAAACUAGGGCACUGGGUUGCUCUUAGGUAAUACAAGGAGAUGAAAUGCAGCGAUGCGAUGAUGAGUGAAGUAGAGCCUGACCUGGUAUUGCCAUUGCUUCACUGUUGGCUUUGACCAGGGUAUGAUCUCUUAAUCUUCUCUCUGAGCUGAUUCUGAUUGUGGUUUUUCCACACAGGUGUGUUGUAUCCUGUUUGGACACUGGUUUUAUUAUGUUUAAGAUGUUUCUUUUAUUUUCUUUUGAAUUACUGAUAUUCUCAUGUUUUCCUCC